rnacentral:rRNA from 1 species
GACGAACGCUGGCGGCGUGCCUAAUACAUGCAAGUAGGACGCAGUUGCGAACGGGUGAGUAACGCGUAGGUAACUACCUCUUAGCGGGGGAUAACUAUUGGCAACGAUAGCUACUACCGCAUACUAGUAGAUGGACCUGCGUUGUAUUAGCUAGUAGGUCGGGUAAUGGCCUCCCUAGGCAACGAUUCAUAGCCGACCAGAGAGGGUGGACGGCCACACGGGGACUGAGACACGGCCCCGACUCCUACGGUAGGCAGCAGUAGGGAAUCUUCGGCAAUGGGGGGAAACCUGACCGAGCAACGCCGCGUGAGUGAAGAAGGUUUUCGGAUCGUAAAGCUCUGUUGUUAAGGAAGCGGUACUUAACCAGAAAGGGACGGAUAACUACGUGCCAGCAGCCGCGGUAAUUC